CCUACCUUAGCACAGUUGGUAGAGCGGAGGACUGUAGUGGUUGCCGUAAUCCUUAGGUCGCUGGUUCGAAUCCGGCAGGUCGGA
rnacentral:tRNA from 1 species